rnacentral:rRNA from 1 species
GAUGAACGCUGGCGGCGUGCUUAACACAUGCAAGUCGAACGGAAAGGCCCAAGCUUGCUUGGGUACUCGAGUGGCGAACGGGUGAGUAACACGUGGGUGAUCUGCCCUGCACUUCGGGAUAAGCCUGGGAAACUGGGUCUAAUACCGGAUAGGACCACAUUUUGGAUGGUGUGGUGGAAAGUUUUUCGGUGUGGGAUGAGCUCGCGGCCUAUCAGCUUGUUGGUGGGGUAAUGGCCUACCAAGGCGUCGACGGGUAGCCGGCCUGGGAGGGUGUACGGCCACAGUUGGACUGAGGGACGGCCCAGGCUUCUACGGGGGGCAGCAGGGGGGAAUAUUGCACAAUGGGCGCAAGCCUGAUGCAGCGAAGCCGGGUGGGGGAAGACGGCCUUCGGGUUGGAAACUCCUUUCGCUAGGGACGAAGCGUUAUGUGACGGUACCUGGAGAAGAAGCACCGGCUAACUACGUG